GAACGCUGGCGGCAGGCCUAACACAUGCAAGUCGAGCGGUAGCACAGAGAGCUUGCUCUCGGGUGACGAGCGGCGGACGGGUGAGUAAUGUCUGGGAAACUGCCUGAUGGAGGGGGAUAACUACUGGAAACGGUAGCUAAUACCGCAUAACGUCGCAAGACCAAAGUGGGGGACCUUCGGGCCUCAUGCCAUCAGAUGUGCCCAGAUGGGAUUAGCUAGUAGGUGGGGUAACGGCUCACCUAGGCGACGAUCCCUAGCUGGUCUGAGAGGAUGACCAGCCACACUGGAACUGAGACACGGUCCAGACUCCUACGGGAGGCAGCAGUGGGGAAUAUUGCACAAUGGGCGCAAGCCUGAUGCAGCCAUGCCGCGUGUGUGAAGAAGGCCUUCGGGUUGUAAAGCACUUUCAGCGGGGAGGAAGGCGAUAAGGUUAAUAACCUUGUCGAUUGACGUUACCCGCAGAAGAAGCACCGGCUAACUCCGUGCCAGCAGCCGCGGUAAUACGGAGGGUGCAAGCGUUAAUCGGAAUUACUGGGCGUAAAGCGCACGCAGGCGGUCUGUCAAGUCGGAUGUGAAAUCCCCGGGCUCAACCUGGGAACUGCAUUCGAAACUGGCAGGCUAGAGUCUUGUAGAGGGGGGUAGAAUUCCAGGUGUAGCGGUGAAAUGCGUAGAGAUCUGGAGGAAUACCGGUGGCGAAGGCGGCCCCCUGGACAAAGACUGACGCUCAGGUGCGAAAGCGUGGGGAGCAAACAGGAUUAGAUACCCUGGUAGUCCACGCCGUAAACGAUGUCGAUUUGGAGGUUGUGCCCUUGAGGCGUGGCUUCCGGAGCUAACGCGUUAAGUCGACCGCCUGGGGAGUACGGCCGCAAGGUUAAAACUCAAAUGAAUUGACGGGGGCCCGCACAAGCGGUGGAGCAUGUGGUUUAAUUCGAUGCAACGCGAAGAACCUUACCUACUCUUGACAUCCAGAGAACUUAGCAGAGAUGCUUUGGUGCCUUCGGGAACUGUGAGACAGGUGCUGCAUGGCUGUCGUCAGCUCGUGUUGUGAAAUGUUGGGUUAAGUCCCGCAACGAGCGCAACCCUUAUCCUUUGUUGCCAGCGGUUCGGCCGGGAACUCAAAGGAGACUGCCAGUGAUAAACUGGAGGAAGGUGGGGAUGACGUCAAGUCAUCAUGGCCCUUACGACCAGGGCUACACACGUGCUACAAUGGCAUAUACAAAGAGAAGCGACCUCGCGAGAGCAAGCGGACCUCAUAAAGUAUGUCGUAGUCCGGAUUGGAGUCUGCAACUCGACUCCAUGAAGUCGGAAUCGCUAGUAAUCGUAGAUCAGAAUGCUACGGUGAAUACGUUCCCGGGCCUUGUACACACCGCCCGUCACACCAUGGGAGUGGGUUGC
rnacentral:rRNA from 1 species